rnacentral:lncRNA from 1 species
AUGAGAUGGGCCCUCAUGGAUGGAAUGGCAGUGACAUCAUAGUUCCGAUGCUGCCUGGCACCCACUCUGCUUCGUGUCCGAAGGCAGUUGGGAGCUCUUGUGGUCUCUGACCUGCUCUGGAGCUUGCUUGUCUGUCCUGUUCUGACCCACCAUCCCCCUCAUCCACCUUGUCACUGUUUCUAGAGGAGAGGCGCACCUCCAACAGCGAGAGCUCAGAAAGGUGAGCAAGAGAGGCACCCUCAUCCCUAAUGGGCACCUUGGGCACAGAGGCCACUUGGCAGGUGACCCCCUUCCCCAUGAGCUGUGGCUGAGCUGACACCAACACUGGAGCACAGAAGGCAGUUGGAGGCCCUUGUGGUUGCUGACCUGCUCUGACGCUCGCUCGCCUGCCCGCCCUGCUCUGACACACCUGAUUCCCACACCUUCCUGGUUGACUUGUUAUCAUUUUGAGAGGAGAGGCCCAUAUCCAACCGCGAGAGUCAGAAAGGUGAGCAUAAGCUGCACCCUUGACCCUACCAACACCUCAAGGAAGGAGAGGCGACUGGUUGGUGUGUGGACCACUCAGGUCUGGGCCUGAGGUGACAGGGACCUCCAGCACCAAGCCCCUGAGCAUGUAGCCCACUCAGGGCUCUGUGGGGUGUGGGCUGCUGCCAGAGAUGCCUGAGUCCCUGUGAAGAGCCUGAGGU